CCUAGUGAUAAUCAGCACACCGAGCUCCUGUCCGCAACUUUCGUCGGCGGAAAGCUAUCAGGACCGUGCUGGGAGGCAUGAGAGGCUUUUGGGUUUUAACACAGACUGGAUUUCUCCCAACUGGUGGGUCUGACCAUGAAUCCGAACCCCCCAUCAAGCAGGAGCGGCCAGGCCAAAGCCGGCUUUGCGGGAGGGGAUGGGGGGCUCCGGCAGACAGCAGAGCUCCGGGGCAGGCUCCCCUCAGGACCCCGCAUUACGCCUGUCGCCCAAUAAGGACGUUGUCUCGUCAGCGCUCCUGCGAGAUUCUGCAACGAAAACACAGACAGGGGAGCCUUCAACCAGCGAACUCGCCAAUGUGCUGCCACGCCGAGAGGGGCUCCUGUCUCCCCGUAACCUGUCUGUGCAGCUGAACGGACUGAGCUCCUGGAGUUGGGGUUUCUAGCUCUUUCAUAAUUUUCGUGGCUCUUCUUUGAGCCCUCAGCAAUGGAUCG